rnacentral:rRNA from 1 species
GACGAACGCUGGCGGCGUGCUUAACACAUGCAAGUCGAACGGAAAGGCCCUGCUUUUGUGGGGUGCUCGAGUGGCGAACGGGUGAGUAACACGUGAGUAACCUGCCCUUGACUUUGGGAUAACUUCAGGAAACUGGGGCUAAUACCGGAUAGGAGCUCCUGCUGCAUGGUGGGGGUUGGAAAGUUUCGGCGGUUGGGGAUGGACUCGCGGCUUAUCAGCUUGUUGGUGGGGUAGUGGCUUACCAAGGCUUUGACGGGUAGCCGGCCUGAGAGGGUGACCGGCCACAUUGGGACUGAGAUACGGACCAGACUCCUACGGGAGGCAGCAGUGGGGAAUAAUGCACAAUGGGCGGAAGCCUGAUGCAGCAACGCCGCGUGCGGGAUGACGGCCUUCGGGUUGUAAACCGCUUUCGCCUGUGACGAAGCGUGAGUGACGGUAAUGGGUAAAGAAGCACCGGCUAACUACGUG